rnacentral:misc_RNA from 1 species
GUGAAUCAUCGAAUCUUUGAACGCAACUUGCGCCGUUAGGCAUGUCUGUUCGAGAACCGUAUGAACUAUUGUGUACUGGAAGGUAUGCGAGCUGGCGGAUGCUGGUGUGGUGGAGUGUCUGGUUGUAAAAUGCAAGACAUUUGCCGCGCUGGCCCUGCUUAAAGAGAGCAAGCAUGACUCGCAGGAUCGAGCCAGUGUGCUAGAGGCGUAGGAAGAGGGGUGUGGCGUGUCGUAUGGCAUGUCAUAUCGUCUUGACUCGGUCUUGUCACUGACAAAGAUCCCGCAGUCGUCGGGUUCGGG